AGCAGCCGCGGUAAUUCCAGCUCCAAUAGCGUAUAUUAAAGUUGUUGCAGUUAAAAAGCUCGUAGUUGAACUUCGGGGUUCACCCAUUGGUCAGGCUUAAUUGUCUGUACUGGUGAGAUGAGUCUCUACCUUCUGAGGAACUUUCAUGCCAUUUAUUUGGUGUGGUUGGAAAUCAGGACUGUUACUUUGAAAAAAUUAGAGUGUUUAAAGCAGGCUAACGUCUGAAUACAUUAGCAUGGAAUAAUGAAAUAGGACGGAUUGAUUCUAUUUCGUUGGUUUCUAGGGUCACCGUAAUGAUUAAUAGGGAUAGUUGGGGGCAUUAGUAUUCAAUUGUCAGAGGUGAAAUUCUUGGAUUUAUUGAAGACUAACUACUGCGAAAGCAUUUGCCAAGGAUGUUUUCAUUAAUCAAGAACGAAAGUUAGGGGAUCGAAGACGAUCAGAUACCGUCGUAGUCUUAACCAUAAACUAUGCCGACUAGGGAUCGGACGAAGUUAAUUUUAUAAUGACGCG
rnacentral:rRNA from 1 species